rnacentral:tRNA from 1 species
GCGGGCGUAGCUCAGGGGUAGAGCGUCUGCCUUCCAAGCAGAAGGUCGCGGGUUCGAAUCCCGUCGCCCGCU